GAUGAACGCUGGCGGCGUGCUUAACACAUGCAAGUCGAACGGAAAGGCCGAAGCUUGCUUCGGUACUCGAGUGGCGAACGGGUGAGUAACACGUGGAUGAUCUGCCCUGUACUUCGGGAUAAGCUUGGGAAACUGGGUCUAAUACCGGAUAUGACGAUCUCUUGGAUGGGGUUGUGGAAAGCUUUUGCGGUAUGGGAUGAGCUCGCGGCCUAUCAGCUUGUUGGUGGGGUAAUGGCCUACCAAGGCGUCGACGGGUAGCCGGCCUGAGAGGGUGUACGGCCACAUUGGGACUGAGAUACGGCCCAGACUCCUACGGGAGGCAGUAGUGGGGAAUAUUGCACAAUGGGCGCAAGCCUGAUGCAGCGACGCCGCGUGGGGGAUGACGGCCUUCGGGUUGUAAACUCCUUUCGCAAUCGACGAAGCCUUUUGGUGACGGUAGGUGGAGAAGAAGCACCGGCUAACUACGUG
rnacentral:rRNA from 1 species